rnacentral:misc_RNA from 1 species
GAUGAAGAACGUAGCGAAAUGCGAUAAGUAGUGUGAAUUGCAGAAUUCAGUGAAUCAUCGAAUCUUUGAACGCACAUUGCGCCCUUUGGUAUUCCAAAGGGCAUGCCUGUUCGAGCGUCAUUUGUACCCUCAAGCUUUGCUUGGUGUUGGGCGUCUUGUCUCUAGCUUUGCUGGAGACUCGCCUUAAAGUAAUUGGCAGCCGGCCUACUGGUUUCGGAGCGCACCACAAGUCGCACUCUCUAUCAGCAAAGGUCUAGCAUCCAUUAAGCCUUUUUUUCAACUUUUGACCUCGGAUCAGGUAGGGAUACCCGCUGAACUUAAGCAUAUCAAUAAGCGGAGGA